rnacentral:rRNA from 1 species
AGUGGCGGACGGGUGAGUAACGCGUGAGAAUCUGCCUCUAGGUUGGGGACAACAGUUGGAAACGACUGCUAAUACCCAAUGUGCCGUAAGGUGAAAGAUUUAUUGCCUGGAGAGGAGCUCGCGUCUGAUUAGCUAGUUGGUGGGGUAAAAGCUUACCAAGGCAUCGAUCAGUAGCUGGUCUGAGAGGAUGAGCAGCCACACUGGGACUGAGACACGGCCCAGACUCCUACGGGAGGCAGCAGUGGGGAAUUUUCCGCAAUGGGCGAAAGCCUGACGGAGCAAUACCGCGUGAGGGAGGAAGGCCUUUGGGUUGUAAACCUCUUUUCUCAGGGAAGAAGAUCUGACGGUACCUGAGGAAUAAGCAUCGGCUAACUCCGUGCCAGCAGCCGCGGUAAUACGGAGGAGGCAAGCGUUAUCCGGAAUUAUUGGGCGUAAAGCGUCCGCAGGUGGCGAUUCAAGUCUGCUGUCAAAGCACGGGGCUUAACUCCGUAAAGGCAGUGGAAACUGAAUAGCUAGAGUGCCGUAGGGGUAGAGGGAAUUCCCGGUGUAGCGGUGAAAUGCGUAGAGAUCGGGAAGAACAUCGGUGGCGAAAGCGCUCUACUGGACGGCAACUGACACUCAGGGACGAAAGCUAGGGGAGCGAAUGGGAUUAGAUACCCC